rfam:Erinaceus europaeus unplaced genomic scaffold scaffold00042, whole genome shotgun sequence
GUGCUCGCUUCGGCAGCACAUAUACUAAAAUUGGAACGAUACAGAGAAGAUUAGCAUGUCCCCUGCGCAAUGAUAACUACAACAACAAUAAAAAACAAGGGCAUCAA